GGAUGGAUCACCUCCUUUCUAAGGGAAAAGUUAUCAUCUUCAGUUUUGAGAGACUUAAAAAAAGUUUUUCAUUUUUUAAGAUUAGGGCCUAUAGCUCAGUUGGUUAGAGCACACGCCUGAUAAGCGUGAGGUCGGUGGUUCAAGUCCAUUUAGGCUUACCAAAAUAUGUCAUAUCUUAAAAAAGCUCUUUGAAAAGUAGAUAAACUAAGGUUAAAAAAAUUAAAGGAAUUAAGGGCGCACAGUGGAUGCCUUGGCACUAAGAGCUGAUGAAGGACGUAAUUAACGGCGAAACGCCACGGGAAGCUGUAAAUAAGUGGAGAUCCGUGGGUAUCCGAAUGGGAAAACCCGUUACAUUGAAGAUGUAACACCCUUGCAAGAGGAAGGAAACGCAGUGAACUGAAAUAUCUAAGUAACUGCAGGAAAAGAAAGUAAUAACGAUUCUGGUAGUAGUGACGAGCGAACCCGGGAUAGCCUGAUACCAUUUUUAGUUAUAAAGUUUUAAUGAAGUAGAAGCUUUUGGAAAAAAGCACCAUAGUGGGUGACAGUCCCGUAAACGUAAGUUAAAAUCUAAGGUAUCAACAAGUACGGCGAGACACGAGAAAUCUUGUCGGAAGAUGGGAGGACCAUCUCCUAAGGCUAAAUACUACUUAGUGACCGAUAGUGAACUAGUACCGUGAGGGAAAGGCGAA
rnacentral:sRNA from 1 species